rnacentral:rRNA from 1 species
ACCAUGCAGUCGAGGGGCAGCAUUUCAGUUUGCUUGCAAACUGGAGAUGGCGACCGGCGCACGGGUGAGUAACACGUAUCCAACCUGCCGAUAACUCGGGGAUAGCCUUUCGAAAGAAAGAUUAAUACCCGAUGGUAUAAUCAGACCGCAUGGUCUUGUUAUUAAAGAAUUUCGGUUAUCGAUGGGGAUGCGUUCCAUUAGGCAGUUGGUGAGGUAACGGCUCACCAAACCUUCGAUGGAUAGGGGUUCUGAGAGGAAGGUCCCCCACAUUGGAACUGAGACACGGUCCAAACUCCUACGGGAGGCAGCAGUGAGGAAUAUUGGUCAAUGGGCGCAGGCCUGAACCAGCCAAGUAGCGUGAAGGAUGACUGCCCUAUGGGUUGUAAACUUCUUUUAUAUGGGAAUAAAGUUUUCCACGUGUGGAAUUUUGUAUGUACCAUAUGAAUAAGGAUCGGCUAACUCCGUGCCAGCAGCCGCGGUAAUACGGAGGAUCCGAGCGUUAUCCGGAUUUAUUGGGUUUAAAGGGAGCGUAGGUGGACAGUUAAGUCAGUUGUGAAAGUUUGCGGCUCAACCGUAAAAUUGCAGUUGAUACUGGCUGUCUUGAGUACAGUAGAGGUGGGCGGAAUUCGUGGUGUAGCGGUGAAAUGCUUAGAUAUCACGAAGAACUCCGAUUGCGAAGGCAGCUCACUGGACUGCAACUGACACUGAUGCUCGAAAGUGUGGGUAUCAAACAGGAUUAGAUACCCUGGUAGUCCACACAGUAAACGAUGAAUACUCGCUGUUUGCGAUAUACAGUAAGCGGCCAAGCGAAAGCAUUAAGUAUUCCACCUGGGGAGUACGCCGGCAACGGUGAAACUCAAAGGAAUUGACGGGGGCCCGCACAAGCGGAGGAACAUGUGGUUUAAUUCGAUGAUACGCGAGGAACCUUACCCGGGCUUAAAUUGCAUUUGAAUAUAUGGGAAACAGGAUAGCCGAAAGGCAAAUGUGAAGGUGCUGCAUGGUUGUCGUCAGCUCGUGCCGUGAGGUGUCGGCUUAAGUGCCAUAACGAGCGCAACCCUUAUCUUUAGUUACUAACAGGUCAUGCUGAGGACUCUAGAGAGACUGCCGUCGUAAGAUGUGAGGAAGGUGGGGAUGACGUCAAAUCAGCACGGCCCUUACGUCCGGGGCUACACACGUGUUACAAUGGGGGGUACAGAAGGCAGCUACCUGGUGACAGGAUGCUAAUCCCAAAAGCCUCUCUCAGUUCGGAUCGAAGUCUGCAACCCGACUUCGUGAAGCUGGAUUCGCUAGUAAUCGCGCAUCAGCCAUGGCGCGGUGAAUACGUUCCCGGGCCUUGUACACACCGCCCGUCAAGCCAUGAAAGCCGGGGGUACCUGAAGUACGAACCGCAAGGAGCUCCUAGGAAAC